rnacentral:lncRNA from 1 species
UUUUUUUUUUUUUAAUGUGGAGCUAUUUGACAUUGAGAAAAACAAGUGAUCUCCUUCAACUUCCGUUUCAAUAGUGCGGAUUAUGGAAUUAUGAUGCAAAAAGAUAUGGAGCCAUCUGAUCCACGAUUCCAUCCCAACAGCAUCAUAUGCCCUGCUUGGAGAUGCUUGAAGAAACAGCCAGUCUUACUUCAGCAAGCCUUGCUCAUCCUGAGGUCUGGAGUGGGCACCUGCAUCAAUGUGUUUCAGUAAGGCUGGGUCAAGAGCGAAAUUUCUUAACUGAGAGCCAAUAGCUUGUAGCAGUUUAGAGUGUGGACCUUGGAGUUCCCGUUGUGGCUCGUAGUUAACGAACUCAACUAGCAUCCAUGAGGACGUGGGUUCAAUCCCUGGCCUCUGCUCACUGGUUGCCGUGAGGUGUGGUGUAAGUUGCAGAUGUGGCUCAGACCUGGUGUUGCUGUGGCUCUGGUGUAGGCUGGAGGCUACAAGCUGAAGCGCAGUUCUGCAAUCCAUCAAUGUGCCUCAGAGAAGGUAAGGCUACUUUGAUGAACUCAAGCAAGCUUGCUUCGGGGCUCUGAAGCCAAGAGAUCCAUCACCUUUAGCCUUUAAGGUCUUGCCUCUUAGAUGCUCUGUUUUCUUAAUCACUGGCUGUACUGUCCUCAGGAAGGGGUAGUGACUGGGGGUCCUACUGCGUCAGCAGUCCUGGAGGCCUCUCAUUUGUGCUGGCUGGGUUUUUCCUAGCUUUGCUUGGCUCUGGAAUCUUGGGUCUUGAGUCUUGGCUCAAGGAAUUCUAAAUCCUGCCUCUGACCCCUGUCCAAGCUCCCAGGCCAGAUCCUUAUACUGCUGUAUUUGGUGAUCUGGUCCCUGGCCUCAACUUGCAAAGGACUGCCCACAUUCUACAGAUGGGCUUCUGUGCCAACUCUCCCUAUGUCAAGGCCAUCGGAUUCCUUGGGAACAACCAGACCAAUGCCGAUUUAUCCCAGAGACUGUGAUGCAUCUUAGCACCAUUUUCACCACGAAGUAUAUCUUCUUUUAUAUGAUAAUGACCCAAAGAGACCUCAAUCUAAAACCAUAUUCUUCAUAGUAGUCAGUUCCAUAGUAUUUACCACCAAUAGCACUAGUUUUGUCAAUAACACAGUCCAAGUAAACUACAGUCAUGUGUAAAAAAAGAAAAUUUCAACAUUUUAAUGAAUGUUACAAACCCUGGUUGAGUUAACCCAAGGCAGUUAGGUCUCUAACCCAAGGCUGAGUUAGGGGUUUGCUUCUACUUGUUAAUGUCACUUGCAAAUGUCUUUGGCUUUCCAACUAGAUAAGGAGAUUCUUGAAGGCAAUGAUUGAUGCAAUUGCAGAUUCACGUCCUUAAUGUCUGAAGUGCUGCCUAACACACAGUAGGUACCUGGUACACACUGGGUGGCCGAAUUGAUGGGUAGGUGAAUGGGUGGGGGAGUUCUACAGGGCUGGACUGUUUGCUGACCCAGACAGAGAGAAAGGAAACAGUUCCAAAGCUUUGCCCUUCUGACCAAGAGAGUAUUUCCUUUCUUUUCCAAACACUCUUCCUUUAGAGCAUGGCUAAAUCCUACUUAUGUUUUAAGGAAGGUUGAAUAUCCCAGGUUGUGACUCCUAGAGCCAUGGAACUCUGCCCCAUAGAUCCUAAGAGUCCAGGGACUUCUAUAGAACCCCAAAAUGAAAGGCACAAAAGAGGCCAUGAUGGAAACAUCAAAACUAAAUGAAAUACUGGAAACAAGUUAAUGAAAUUCCAUGACAGAAAGGGCUGGUCCAAGGAAGGAGAGAGAGAGAGAGAGAGAAAAGGAAAAAGGAAAAAAACCAACAAACCCAACUCAGGACCAGAAGCAGCUGUCUAGUUUGAACUGCUAGACUGCUGAGCACACACUGCAUGCAUAUUCAUAGGUGCCACCAGAAAUUAAGCACCUCUGGAACCAGCAUUAAAACUCUCCUGCCAGCCAGGGCAGUGAACCAGUAACUCAACAGCCCCCUUGUGGUCCGGAAGAAUUAAUGCAGCUUCCCAAGGUGUGAAGGUUCUUCUUGAGGUGUGGGGGAGGGGGGUUGGCUGGGGAGGCAUGGAGCCCUGUAAGAGGAGGGGGAUGCUGCUGAACCCUGUGUAAAGGGUUAGACUUGGCCCCCUGUUCAUGGAGGGAGGGCAAUUCACCACCAUCAACUCUCUCUCUUUCCAGAGUCUGCAAAAGGCCCCUGGUGUACCUGCCUGCUCCAACUAACUCAUGCUUCUUGAAAGAAGCAGCAGAUCAAAGGAGCUCCGUGUUCCCAUUUAAAAAUAUCAUUUAAGGGAAUUUUAAGCUGUCUGAGAAGAUGGAUACACUAUGUUUGUUUUCUACAUUAAUGAGCUAUAAAAAGAAUGGAAUAGGCCAUAAAUAUAGUAUUUUGCAACAGCCUUUACUAAAAAUGCUACUACUUGUGUUUAUCAUUUAUAUCCUUGUAUACAACCUCAAAAUUGAUUACACUUUAAACCCUACAUAACUUGCUGUGUUUUUCAUUUUGUGCUAUACUACAAACAUUUUUAUAACUCAGUUAAUAUAUUCCAUAUUUUGUGUUCUUAUUGAUUAUGAAUAUUUCUUUAGGGGAUUUUAUUGCUUUUAAAAUAACAAAUGUUGGGUAUUAAAAAAUAGAAAAACCUAUUGCAGCUUUUAUAUUUUUGCUUCCCCUGGUAAUUCUAAUAGAUACAUUGGAGCAUGAACAUAACCAGAAUAUCUUUCUCUGUAUCUUUUAUACUUCCUCACAUUAAAAUUAAAAAUCUACGAAUGUAGUGCACAGUAAAAGAACCGGAUUUUUCAAAGGAAACCCACCAUUUAAUGUGUUCGACUUGAAUUCAUAAUCUAUUCCUACUACAAUUAAAAAAUUAAAGUGCCAAAAGAUUAUCUGCACGUAACAUGAUGGUUUUACAUCAAGUAUAUAUUAUCUUUCCUAAUUGCCAUUUCAGUUUAUAGGCUGCACUAUGAUUUAUAUAUACGAUAUGAUUUCACUAUUAAUUAUCAAAUUGAAAAAAAUAAAAUCUCACAUUAUAAAUUCUCUCCUGGAAAUUAGUUUUAUUAUUUUUUCCAUAAUCCUAUCACACAAGCUAUAAGUGCAUUGCGGCAUGAACACUUUAAUUUUUCCAGUUAGUUUUAAGCAAGCCCAGAGGUGAGGUUUAAUAAGGAUCAAUGGCACUUUAUCUGGGACAGGGCCUCUUCACAGCAUGCAAAUUACACAGUAACACUUAAAAAAAGAAAUAGAUUUAAUUAAAAAAAAAGUAGAACCACAGGCUCUGGAAAUUCAAUUAAAGGAUUUAUGCAAAGGUUUGCUAGGUUUUUAUAUGCAGUUACUGCUUACAUAAUGAGCUUUUCAUAUUAAAAAUCAAUAGGUAAUCUAGACUAGAAGAUCAUCCCCUUAAAUACAUUUUUGAAAUCAAUUUGAAAAAUAGUCCAUCAACUGCUGUGACUACCCUUGCUGCUUUGAUUACACUAAAAGCAAUAUUUAGAUUGUAAGACGUGCUACGGAAUAUCUAUGCUGGGAUAUCGCUUUCAAGGGCUCUUAGACUUCAGAGGGCCUAAGACCAUCACCUAGUAAUUCAAGACGGUGUUAAAUGUACAAAUAAUUGAUUUAAUUACGAGCCAAAGCCCAGGGCGUGACCCCAUUGUAUUUCUAAAGAUUAAAUGAAAGGAGAAAAAAGACAAAGGGAGGAAGACAGAGAGGAGGAAAGAAAAGACAAGACAGAGAAGGAAAGAAGAGAGGGAGGGAGGGAGGAGAAGGAGGGAAAAAAAAGAAGAAAGAACCUUUCCUAAGUCAGUCUUCCCUGUCUCCGUCGCCUCUGCGUGUUGGCUACUUAGCGCCGGGAGAUAUGCGCUUCACUUUAAAACUCAUUUAGGUCUUCAAGGAAGGAAGCAAUUAGCGAGCUCUAACUUAAGCCGACUUUCCAUCCUCAGUGAUAAUGAGGGACAGGUCUUGAAAGGGAAAUGAAAGCGGAGGCUCCAAUUCUAUCCAGUAAGUACACUCACGGCCAAGAUUUGCCUGGACUGGUAAGGACCAAAACACGGGACAGGUUUCCAUGGGCCACUCCUGGCAAACGGGACAACCACCAUCACGUCGGGGGAAGCUCUGGGAAGAGUGAAGGACGGACAGGACCCGGGUAGUUCUGAUUCUGAACUCCGCCCAUCUGAAUAAUAAAGGAAUACGAGAAAUAUUCUUCACUCCCUCUUUCUCGGACUUUUUUACUUAAAAAGUGUUCGUUUCUGAAAAGUAGGGUCAGUACUCUGGGUCCAUCAAAAUGAACAUCAGAGCUCAAGUUAUAUCUUCGACCCAAGUCAGUCUUGUAAAAGCAGGCCUAAACCACAGCAAGCACGACGUUCUAACACAGCAGUGCCUUACACUUCUUCAGGAAAAGAAAUAAGCAAACGUAUUUACAAAUCCAAAUGUAUCCGCCUGCCUCUCACCAAAGGUAAUGCUUUAAGAAGGUGCUGAGACAGCUGGGUAACCGGAGAGCCAGGAGCAGCACUGGGAGGUCUCGGCUCCUGAUGCGCCGUGUGGAGAAGGUGAAAACUAAGAGCAGCGGUGAGAGGAAGGGGCACCUUCUACACCUGAGACAGUGGGUGUUCACACCGUGUGCAGCAUUUCUGCAGCACGAUCCCGGACCAGUCCCACCCCAGGCUGACCCUUCCUUUGGACGUGCCUACAGUGGAGCUGAAGGAGGUUUUAGGGCCGAGGGCCCAGCACCGGCCUAUCAGUCAAGCAUUCGUGUACGUGUACCUGGCAAGUACUGCAAAACACCUGGGAUGUGCCAGGCACUGCCAGCCGUGGUGCUAACCACAAAGAUGAACCCAGUGGAACCAGGGUCCUCGGAUAGGUUAGAUAGGUCUGUAUACACAUUUACUCUUCCUUUGAAAGCUUCCAUUUACAAGAAAGAAAUAAUAAGCAAGGAGCUGAAACAUGAGCUGGGGUCCCUUGAAACCACGAGGCUCAGGGAAAGAAGCCAGUCACAAAGGAGCGCAUGUUUGAUGCCAUUCAUUGGAGAAGCCAAUGGGUACAAACAGAAAGUACAUCUGUGGUUGCCUGGGGCUGGCGGGGUGACAGGCUUGUUUGGAGGUGAUGGCCAGAGCCUGAAGCGUAGUAGCUUUAAGGAAAAGCAAACAACAAAAGCUGCAAAGAAAAAAACGAGGUUGAAAAAACAGAAACAAAGCGUAACUUCAUUUUCCACCUGCACCAAUCUGGCAAAUCAAACAUUGAGGGUUUCUCCUCCUCGGCAAAGUACUUUCUGUGACAAUCAGUUUAUCGAUGUGCAACCAUAAACAACCGGCUCUCCAUGGGAAGGUACUGAAAUCUCAACAAGCAGAACCUUCCACCACAGGAAAGGAAAACGUCCGUGCAAAAUGCCCCAGGUUGGUGUGAUCGAAAAGUCAAGCAGGAAACCGCUCUGCAACAAUGUGAGAGGGGUUGGUAAUGGAAGUUUGAACAAUGUUAACACUUAAAAUUUCAGCAGAACCAUUUCAAUCCAUAAAUGUAUAAAAGUCAUUUUACAGUGUGUUUAACAGCCAAGACCAAGAGCUGUUAUAAAAGAAGACGCCCUCAAUGUCACUUCAUUUUCUUUUAUUCUUAUUAUCACAUUUAAAUCUCUCUGUAGAAGUGGUCUUGAUAGGUAACUUUAUUACACAUUUCGAGACUAUUCAUUCUGAACAGAACUUCCUCCAAGGAAUUAACAGAAAGAGAGAGCCCACUUUUCCCUCAUCGUCCCUAAAUUACGCCAUAACUACGGAGCAGGGCAGCGGCAGUGUGCAGGCGACAAGGACUCGGCCUGCUAGGCCCCACGGCAGCUCAGUAAACUUGGAGGUGACUCUCUUGGUUGGUCACAACCGUCGGUCCCUAACAAACACCUUCCUGUGUAGCUGGCAAAGACCUGGAGGGAAGAGUCAGGGAAGGCAGGCGUGGAGACAUGUUGAAGAGAAAGAAUUCCCGAAAGUAACCACGAGAGCCGUGUCAGCCCUCAAGACAAGGACACAUUCCGACCUUGGUCCCUGAAGGGCAAGGACCUCCGCACGUCGGCAAAUGUGUGUGCAAAGGGCAGUCAGUACCUAUGUCAGCUUCCCAAGACCCAGCUCAUCUGCUGCAAAGACUCAACUCUGCCACGAUGCUGCUGCAGCAUAGACAACACGUCCAUGGAUGAGCCAGGCCGGCUUUCAAGAAAACUUCAAGGAAAAUCAGAUUUAAAUUUCAUCUGGUUUUCUUGUAUCACGAAGCGCUGUUUUCCUUUUAACAUUUUCCCAGCCAUUUAAAAAUGUAAAAAGGACUCUUCGUUGAGAGCGCACGUGAAAACAGGCAGAUUUGGCCCAAGGGCCACACAUAUUUCUCCGGUGCGCAACCACAGCCGGCCAGCAAGGAGGUCCCCAAGAAGGGCUGCGACACAUCUCUGCUGUGGCUGCUGGCCAGGACCGUCACGUGGCCACCCUCGGCUGACACUCAUCCUUCCAGUCCCUGAAGUGGAAGGGAGACCACAGUCCCUGACUCCGCAGACAUAAGAACAGUGUCCUGUCGCCGCCAGAGGCUGAGAUCAGAGCGGACAGGGAGGCUGGCUUACUCAUCUCCAGCUCGCUCCAGAGUCAAGCAUCAAGAAUGGGCAGGUAAGGAGUCCAGAGGGACUCAAAAGCGAUAGACGACAGUACCUCAGCCGGGGCAAAGGCUGCCUACUGCUUCCCCCACCUGCUUCCCCUUCGUCAUGGGCACCCAGCUGGGAUGUAUGUCCUGGCAUGCCACAGACAGACGCCACCCCUAGACCGCCACACACGACACCCCAUGUUCUCACCUCGUCCACCAGCUCAAUGCGGACAACCAAGCUGGCCUUGGAAGCCAGGCUGGGAGAUGGCUGGACCACGGGAUGGAAAGAGCUGGGAUCCCUGAGAAGUCACUGGGAAAAGAGCUACAUGCUAAGCCAAAGAACCACUUUGGGCCUCACAUAAGCGAGAAAAACACAGGACCAUGUUUGAACCACUGGGCCCGUGUGGGCUGACUGCUCUUACAGCAGCUGGCGUCACCUUUACAACAAUCUAGCACUGAGACGUCUGUCAGGGAAUCGCGGCCACGUCUUGUGGGCUCCAAGCCCAGCUUACAUGUACUGCUCUGUUUGGGAGCAUCGCUUGGUGUCACCCAGCAUCGCCUUGCCCUGGCUUCGGGGGCUCUUUUGGGAGCAAGAGAAGCAUGCCUGGCGACACGUCUGCAAACCAGGAGAGGAAAGACCCAAGCCCGCACGUCCGGCCUGGAUGUCCACACGGAAGCAGCCUCCACAGACCCUCCCCACCGUGUGAGGGAGACAGGGACACCUCGGCAACCUGCUAGGCUUGGAAGGUUCGGUGUUUCACGUCUCUUAGUGAGACCCUUUUUAUGCAAAAGCCCUUGUGCAUGCUCCGUGGUACACUGCCAGGGAAUGCCCAGCUUCACACGGAACGGGCGAUUUAUAAACACCAGCAUCACGCGCACUGUGGAGCGCUGUCACCUCAAUUUCAGAGCCCUGGUCCCUUUUCUGUGUACUUUUUGUUUGCCUCAGCGCUUCGCCAAGUGCUAUUGUGAGGUGAUGCCUUUUGUAGCUUUAGAGUCUGGUGCUUUCGAAUGUACUCCCAGCGCUACUUGCCCUGUUCUCUUGCUCCUAGAUGGAAAACAAACUGCAAAUGGCUUUACAGUGCCAGCCCUUAAAUAUUUUACAGGCAGAAAUCUUGGUGGGUGGUUUGGAGGCUCAAUUACCCUCCUCGGUGGAGGAUACAAACAUCCCCGAGGGUUUACAUAACACACCUGGGCGCUCUGUGGUACUCAAAACGCGCAGGAUGUAUGUACCUCUCCCUCUGGAACCGCUGACCCCACGGCACGUGAGCACCUGAAAGGUGUCAGGCCGGCAGGACUGCCCAAGAGUUAAAGCUAAAUCCCCCUGUCCAUCCAUCGAGGGACAUGACAGAGACAGCGCAGUCGCUCAGAAGUGUUAGGGUAAGACAUCAUGGUACUGAAAGCCGUCCCCUUGAAUAUGCUUUUCUGGGAAAGAAGAGGUAAAGAGAGAAGCCUUUUCAAGUGUCAGCUACUUCAAAAGAAAGAGCCAGAACGGAGCUGUUGUUACGCAGCAUGAAGUGGCAGUAUGGGGGGAGGGGGGUGCUAAAAUCAGAAUGUGGACAGUAACAGCACCCCACCCCACCUGACCCAUCCAAAACUCUGACAUAAGUGCUGUUAUCCCCAUUUCACAGAUGAGGACACUGAGACUCAGAGAGUCUCACUGUCACUGGCUGAGCCUGCCCUAGAUCAGUGCAGACACAGGAUGUGUGCCAGGUCCGUCUGAUGCCAAGCCCUGUGCUCAUCCCACUUGACCACGCUGUCUCCUCUCCCCAUGAGGCUGCAGCGUCACUGAGGAAUCCGAGGAGGGAGGGACAGGCACCUCCCCCAUGGAGGAGCAGGUGCAUCGCCUGGGAGGAGCGCGGGUGAGGCCGGGUCCCAACAAGAGAUGAGGGGCUUGAGCUUGGCUGGGUGGUACUCGAUCCUGCAAUUCUCCCUUCUGCUAUGAACAACAUACGGUCAGAAGGAUACGACCGCUGGGAGGAUCAGCCAGAUCUUCUGAAGGAGCAGGGUUCCGAUGAGUGUGUCUGAGAAAGGAGCGGGGAGAGGAUGGAAUUUUUUUUUUAAGGAGAUUAAAAAGAUAUCAAUAGACGCCUCUCCCACAAAUGUUUGAUGUUCGAUUUCUAAAGCAGUGUUGGAAACAAAGAAAAAAAGAAAAUGAAGCCAAAGACAGCAAGAGUCAGGGAGCCUGGUGUCACUGUAUUUGAGUCAUUUUAUAGACAGAAAGUCCGGGGGCCCAGAAUAUUCCAAUACUGUUUCCAGAGUUGUAUGAGGUAUGGUCUUCUAAAUUCGAAGAAAAGGAGGAAAAAAGUUUCUAUGCUACGCCUAUUUCGAGCUUUUAUCAGUACUAAUUCCAGCCCCCUUUUUCCCUUACAAUUCUGAACAGAGGGAAAACAGACAUUAAUUAAGCAAAGCUUUAUCUCUUUCUACUCUAAUGAAAACCAACUUACAGUGAUAUUUUUCCCCAAGAUUUUUCUCCACUUAAUGAAGACAUUAUCCCCGAGUUUUCAAAGUCAUUUUACAAAAGAGUAUUCAAGAGACAUUAAAGUCAGUUUAAACUCAAAAGUCUUUCUGAAGUCAAUAAACAAUAAAAGAACAAUGAAAAG